AGCUCCAAUAGCGUAUAUUAAUGUUGUUGUGGUUAAAAAGCUCGUAGUUGGAUCUCGGCGGGCAGCGGUCGGUCCGGUCUGAUCCGGUUUACUGACCUUGUUUUUGCCCGUGUGUGUUUGUUGGCGUCCGAGCCGGUGAUCUUGAUCGGUUGUCGGCUACUUACGGGUCAACAGUUUUACUUUGAAAAAAUUAGGGUGCUCAAAGCAGGCUGAUCACGCUUGAAUAUUCGUGCAUGGAAUAAUGGAAUAGGAGGUCGUUCCUAUUUUGUUGGUUUUCGGGAACCGACUUAAUGAUUAAAAGGGACAGUCGGGGGCAUUUGUAUUCAGACGCUAGAGGUGAAAUUCUUGGACCGUCUGAAGACAAACUACUGCGAAAGCAUUUGCCAAGGAUGUUUUCAU
rnacentral:rRNA from 1 species